AAUUGUAACGUUGGACGAUGUAAUUUAUGACGAUGCGAGACAACCUAUGUAUUUUUAUUGAUUUUGGUUAAAAUAUUACAUCUAAACGAUGUACACAAUCCGAACGCGUCAUGUUGUGUAAUAUUCCAACUUUCUAUGUACUAUUACAUCAAGUAGUCAAUGUUUAUUCCAAUUGACAUUUUAAUUUUUUUUCGUGUCCGAAAGUUUGAAACGGAUUGUGGAGUUCAGGAGGAUUUGUUCUGUUGGAAUUUUGGUCAUCGUUUAUCAGAGAUACAAAAGAGUUCCGGAGAAAAGAAAAUAAAGAAAGUUAUAUUCGAUGAAAUGGAUGACAACGAUGUUGCGAAGUUGUAGGACCAAUGGCCAUCAAAGGGACAGAUUAAUCGAAUACGGAACUGUGCCAAUCAGUGUUUAUUUCGGGUGUGAAUGUCUGGCUGAAGGUAGGAUGCCCAGAUAUGCCCAGUUUCUUUCAAAGUAGGAAGGAUACGAUCAAACAUUUCAACAGGAUACUGAAAGGUUCAGCGAAGCAGAUGUGACUGAAUCCAUUUGGAUGGUUCCAUUCUUCAGUUUGUCAUAAUUCAUGGAAUAAGUUAGUUUUUUAGUUUGUCAUAAUUCAUGGAAUAAACUCAUGUCUUCAGUUUUUAAUGGUUUAAUUCAGUCUGAAAAAAAAUUCUGAUCCUUUUAUACAUAUGUACAUAAGUAGGAGCUUAAAUUUUGAGUCCUUAAUUUGAGUUUUAGAUUUUUUAACAUAUCAGAAAUUUAUUCAAAUUUUGAAAAUGAUAACGGUUAGUUUCAUCACAAGAUGUAUUUUAUCUCUGUGCUCGAUCUUGUCUACUCCGUUACAUAUGUUUCGUGUAUUUUUUUACAUCUAAAACGUGUAGUUGCUUAGUACAUCAAAACAAUGUAAUAUUAAAUACAUUUAGCGACUCGAGUUAUGUGCACGUUUUUGAUGUAAUUUCGCAACACU